AAAAUGCUCAGUGCUUGUACAGCCUGAUGACUUAAAUCAAACAUCCUGAGGAAUCAGAAAGACAGCCUGCUGAAGAAAGGAGAAGGGUGGAUGGUUAUGGCACAAAGGACACAAUUCACUAGGUCUGAUGUUCAUCUGGGGACCUGUUUCUUUGUAUAAAUCAACCCUGAUGACAGCCCCUGCUUCCUUUUUUUUUUGAAGUUAUGAACAAUGCAAAGAAAAAACUGAAAAUUUCCAGUUCAUAUGGAAACAAAUAGAAACCAAUGUUAAAAGGGGAAAGAACAUGAUGCUGAAUUGGAAGGAGAUCAUUUAAAGUACUGCUUCCUGUUAGCCAGGACAAAACAUCCUUAAGGAUUCCCCAUUCCUUCAUCUCCUAUUUGGAUGGUCCACAGUCUGCUGUUACACAUGGCAUGUACAACUCCUCCUGAAGCCAGCUGGAGAUAAGUGCCUAUAUGUGAUCCUCAUCUCUUAAGCAGAACUUAAUUUGUGUCAUUCUUCUACACUCCACUGCAACAACUCAGAAGUCAGGAGCCCAGAAAGUAGUUUGGGCUUUUUCUUUGCUGCUCUCAGCAUUUUCUGCUGUGCAGCACUCAGUACCUUCAGCUGAGAGCAUUACAGUCACACAAUGAAGACUGGUCAUCUCCUCCCCAUGUAACUGUGAUGCCAAGAGCACUGUUUUCUCCCUGAAGCUGAGGAUGCUGCCCCAAGAGAGUCUGAAAGCACUGCC
rnacentral:lncRNA from 1 species